rnacentral:rRNA from 1 species
AGCAAGCGUUGUUCGGAUUUACUGGGCGUAAAGGGCGCGUAGGCGGUCAGCACAGGUCAGUUGUGAAAUCUCCGGGCUUAACUCGGAAAGGUCAACUGAUACUGUGCGACUAGAGUGCAGAAGGGGCAACUGGAAUUCUCGGUGUAGCGGUGAAAUGCGUAGAUAUCGAGAGGAACACCUGCGGCGAAGGCGGGUUGCUGGGCUGACACUGACGCUGAUGCGCGAAAGCCAGGGGAGCGAACGGG